AGACAACAUCAUUACAUUAGAAAGAUGGAGGAUCAGUAACAGGAACGUGGGAAGACUCCAGGAUCCACUCUGGCUGGAAUCCGGUGGAUACAGCAGUGUUACAGAACAGUUCUCCACAGUCACUGUCCACAUGGGUCAGUGGGACCAAGAAGCACUCUGCUAAUGUGAGACUCUGACCAGCAACAUCCAGCAAGACCCAGGCAGUGUUUUCUAUCUCCCAGCUGGAGUUUUUUUGUUUGUCUGUGACUGGAGAGUCAGAUUUUUGUUGAGGCUGGAGGAACAGCCUCACACUUGCAGAGGUUAAUACACGCUACUGAUCCCUGAUGGGAGAAUCAUCACCUCUGCCAACAAAGAAGCCUGGUGGAUGUUUGUUUACAGUCUGAUGAUGGGACAUCAUGCUCUGCAUCUUCAAAUCUUUUUGCAGGAUCAGAAAACAAAACCAGGAGGCCUGUAAAUGUUUCUUCUCCAAUUGGAUGAUGAUAAGACUGUGACACGGGAUGCCACCUUUAGUCUUGUGAUGAAGCAAAGCUCAGGAAGAAGUGUGAUUAAAUGGUACCCACAUGUGUGCUGCUGAGAAGGAUGUACAGGGGCACCUGCAGCCAAAUCCAAGCCUCCUCAGCAACUUCAAGUCUGUCAGCGUGCUGAGGUCACAGAAACAAGAAAAGCAGCUUCAGACUUCAGAGUGUUGUUUACAGUUUUCUGUCAUCAUGAUCUCCCCUGAAGUUUAUCACUAUUAUACAAGCAAUGGUGACGGUGUGGAGAGACGGUGGUGUUUCCUCAGAAGAACCAGCAGAGUCACAAAGGGCACGAGUCCAUCUCACCACCUUGACUUACUGACAGAUGUUCGUCUGCACUGCACAGAGGAAAUCAACUAACCGAGGAGUGUUUCUGAGUGAGGGAGAGAGGAGUCAUCAUCCAGGUAAAGUGACAUGGAUCAGUGGAUACACUUGUCUCCCCUUUAAAGGAGACGAUCCGAGUCAUCCUUAAAUAUGGGCAGGAUAUCAGUCUUGGACUGUCUAACCUGCCGGAGCAGCACUGAAUGAUCACCACACAUGAGCAUGUUCCUGCAACAUUCAGCAUCUGAUCUGCCAUCUGUGUGCUUCUGCUUUUGAUAAGUAGAGCUAUCUAACUACAGUAACUCUAAACACAUGCCAUCCAUUUCUAACGGCCUGGUUACUUCCUGUCAGUUAUUUUAGAAACCAUGUGGUCACCUGACCUAACACUGUUUCUUCUUCUUCCCCUUAAUGUUGAAGUGUCAAAUGUCAACCAGCUGGAGAGGAAACUACACCAGUGUACUGGGAUGUUUCAGCAACACGUGCCAGAUGCUGUUCCUUCAUGGUUUCAUCACCAGAGACAGCCCCGCCCACCUCAGGACCUCGCCAUUGAUCAUGAUGAUUAUAAUAAUGACAGCGAGCGGAACUAAGACUGUAAAAAUCCACGACCAGAAUGUUUAGAUGCUUUCUAAUUAUUAAUGAAUACUGAGAGCCUCUUUCUGUGUUUUGUCUGUUUUGUUUUGGUUUUUUUACCUCAUUUGUUACUAACAAAGUUCACCAAACUCACACAGUUUACAUUCUGUAUGUUUCCAUCUUUACCAGCCACACUCUUAACUGCAAUUAAGCAAAUAAUCCUUAGAAAUCGUCGUUUUUCUCUUUUGUAAUUGAUGAUAAUUCAGUGAAUAUACUGCGCUGCUUCCUUUUAUUGCGUCACACAUUGCUUUAAGUUUUUCAGUGUCCAGUUAUUUUUUUACUGCUGUUUGAAUUCUCUGUAUGUUUGACCCUGUAGACUGUUUAAUGGACUGCUUGUCUUCCUGUUUGUAACCACUGCCUGUUUUUGACUAAAGAUUUGGAUUUCUGACUUUAACACAGCCUCUGCGUGUCCUCCCUUUGUGUCCUCUUCCUCUGUGAAUGUGUUGCAUGUGUCACAGAUUCAUUUUAUUAACAGCUUUCCCACAGUCAGUUGCAUCAGCAUUCAUUCACAGCACAUUUCAGAAGGAU
ensembl:lncRNA